rnacentral:rRNA from 1 species
GACGGAGGGAGCAAGCGUUGUUCGGAAUUACUGGGCGUAAAGGGCGCGUAGGUGGUUAGAUAAGUCAGAAGUGAAAUCCCAGAGCUUAACUCUGGAACUGCUUUUGAAACUAUCUUUCUAGAGUUUGGUAGGGGGUGAUGGAAUUCCUAGUGUAGCGGUGGAAUGCUUAGAUAUUAGGAGGAACACCGAUGGCGAAAGCGAUCACCUGGGCCAUAACUGACACUGAGGCGCGAAAGCAUGGGUAGCAAAC